CCUGACCUCGGAUCAGUCGUGACUACCCGCUGAACUUAAGCAUAUCACUAAGCGGAGGAAAAGAAACUAACCAGGAUUCCCCUAGUAACGGCGAGUGAAGAGGGAUUAGCCCAGCACCGAAGCCUGCGGCAGUUUUGCUGUUAGGCAAUGUGGUGUUUGGGUCGGCUGGUUGGAUUGCCGCUCCACUCGAAGUCCAGCAUUGAGUAUGGUCACUGGAUUUGGCCCAAAGAGGGUGAAAGGCCCGUACGGGUGGAGGCUCAGUUAAGUAAGGCAAUUCAUCAGGUCGGCCUUCGAGUCGGGUUGUUUGAGAAUGCAGCCCAAAGUGGGUGGUAAACUCCAUCCAAGGCUAAAUACAUACACGAGUCCGAUAGCGAACAAGUACCGUGAGGGAAAGUUGAAAAGUACUUUGAAGAGAGAGUAAACAGUACGUGAAACCGCAUGCAGGUAAACGGGUGGCGUCAAGCUGCAAGCCUGGAGGAUUCAGCUGACUAGGGUGUUGUAUGCGCCUGGCGCAUCAAUCAGUCGGAGUAGGAAUGAAUAGUCCACUGUGAUACGGUGGGCCUGGCCGCAAGGCUGGGAUUUGUGUACCGGGCGGUGGCCGGAGCUUGCUAUUCAUCCAUGGACUGUCUAGUCAGUGCACUUUCUCCGUGGUGAACACCACGACCGAUGGUAUUGCCAGUCUGCUGUAGUCAAGUCGUAUCUGGUAGGCUCUCGUGGUCAACCGGGUGCGAUCACAGGCAAACUCAGUGAACGGCGUAGGGGUGCUUCGGCACCUUUACGUGAUAUCGGCUACUGGUUGUCAACGGGCUGUCUGAUGGUUGUUGAUCGCCAUUGGAUGGUCUGGUGGGCUAUGGUGGUAUGAAUAACUGUGCAAGGCAUCGGAGAUAUCGACCUCAAAUGUGGCCUACCCCAUGUUACAAGUGGUGGGGUGCCGUUGGGGCCUGCCUAAUGUUGGGUCUGAUUGCUGUGUCGCCUGCGAAAGUGGGCCCGGCAGUGGCCUGAUGUGGGAUGGGUCUCGGAUGGUGCCUCCAGUGUGGGCUGCUGUGGGUCAUAUAGUCAGUGGUGUAGUGGUAGACGAGCUACCCGACCCGUCUUGAAACACGGACCAAGGAGUUUAACAUGUAUGCAAGUCAAAGGGCUCUACGAAACCCCAAGGCGAAGUGAAAGUGAAGCUCCGACUUGUUCUCGGAGUGUGGUGAGAUCCUGCCGUUACUCGCAUCAGCCGACACCAGGCUAAGAGCGGUGGGCGCAUCACCGGCCCGUCCCAUGAUGUGGCCAUUGGAUGUCUGUGGUGGCUGCUUCAGUGCUGCGGUGCCAGUGCGUCAUCGGAGCGGUGCAUGAGCAUACAUGUUGAGACCCGAAAGAUGGUGAACUAUGCUUGCGUAGGUUGAAGCCAGAGGAAACUCUGGUGGAGGACCGCAGCGAUUCUGACGUGCAAAUCGAUCGUCAAACGUGAGUAUAGGGGCGAAAGACUAAUCGAACCAUCUAGUAGCUGGUUCCCUCCGAAGUUUCCCUCAGGAUAGCUGGCACUCAUUAGCAUACUCAGUUUUAUCCGGUAAAGCGAAUGAUUAGAGGUACUGGGUUCGAAACGGGCUCAACCUAUUCUCAAACUUUAAAUGGGUGAGAUGUCCGGCUCGCCUAAUAGGAGUCGGGCGUUGAAUGUGCGAGUGCCAAGUGGG
rnacentral:rRNA from 1 species